rnacentral:rRNA from 1 species
AUUGAACGCUGGCGGCAUGCUUUACACAUGCAAGUCGGACGGCAGCACAGAGAAGCUUGCUUCUUGGGUGGCGAGUGGCGAACGGGUGAGUAAUAUAUCGGAACGUACCGAGCAGUGGGGGAUAACUAAUCGAAAGAUUAGCUAAUACCGCAUAUUUUCUGAGGAAGAAAGCAGGGGACCAUUUGGCCUUGCGCUGUUUGAGCGGCCGAUAUCUGAUUAGCUAGUUGGUGGGGUAAAGGCCUACCAAGGCGACGAUCAGUAGCGGGUCUGAGAGGAUGAUCCGCCACACUGGGACUGAGACACGGCCCAGACUCCUACGGGAGGCAGCAGUGGGGAAUUUUGGACAAUGGGCGCAAGCCUGAUCCAGCCAUGCCGCGUGUCUGAAGAAGGCCUUCGGGUUGUAAAGGACUUUUGUCAGGGAAGAAAAGGAUAGGGUUAAUAUUUCCUGUCUGAAAA